rnacentral:rRNA from 1 species
UACGGAGGGUGCAAGCGUUGUUCGGAAUUACUGGGCGUAAAGCGUGCAGAGGCGGACCUGUCAGUCAGGCGUGAAAUUCCCCGGCUCAACUGGGGAGGGUCGCUUGAUACAGCAGGUCUUGAGAUUCGGGGAGGUGGGCGGAAUUCCCGGUGGAGAGGUGAAAUUCGUAGAUAUCGGGAGGAACACCAGAGGCGAAGGCGGCUCACUAACCGAAUACUGACGCUCACACACGAAAGCGUGGGGAGCAAACAGG